rnacentral:rRNA from 1 species
GAUGAACGCUAGCGGCAGGCCUAAUACAUGCAAGUCGAACGGUGUCUUCGGACAUAGUGGCGCACGGGUGCGUAACACGUAUGCAACCUACCUUACAUUGGGGGAUAGCCUUUCGAAAGGGAGAUUAAUACCGCAUAAGACAGUAGCUGGGCAUCCAGCAGCUGGUAAAGAUUUAUCGAUGUAAGCUGGGCAUGCGUCCAAUUAGCUAGUUGGUGAGGUAACGGCUCACCAAGGCAAUGAUAGGUAGGGGAACGGAGAGGUCAAUCCCCCACACGGGCACUGAGAUACGGGCCAGACUCCUACGGGAGGCAGCAGUAGGGAAUAUUGGGCAAUGGACGCAAGUCUGACCCAGCCAUGCCGCGUGCAGGAUGAAGGCGUUAUGCGUUGUAAACUGCUUUUAUACAGGAAGAAACGACUCUUGCGAGAGGCAUUGACGGUACUGUAUGAAUAAGCACCGGCUAACUCCGUGCCAGCAGCCGCCGUAAGAC